GGGAAUAUGGCUUAGUGGUAGAGUGCUUGUUUAGCAUGCAUGAAGCCCUAGGUUCAAUUCCCCAUAUACACA
rnacentral:tRNA from 1 species